CCUCCACCUUAUAGAGUUGAAGUUUGGCCUCCUCCACCUAAUACUGAAGCUGCUGGAAAUCGUGAAAGGGCUACUUGGAUUGUACAUGUGAUUCUCCAUGGCAUUGAAGAGUAUAUUGUUCUUAAUUUGAAUGAUCUCAGUUCAAUAGUGCAAUCUAUGUUGGUAUUCAGAGAAUGGAUGUAGUUGGUUCUCAACCAAAUGUUACGGUCACACCAACUCAGGGACAGGUAAGCUUCGUAGGGUUGAACCUCAUUGCCUAAUAAAGGUGAUUUGCAGCAUUAACUGCAUAUUGGCUUCCCCUAAGAUCAAGAAGAAGUUAGUUUCAAAAAAACAAGGAAAUGUCAAUGUAUACCGUUUAGUUUCCCGCAAAUAGUGAAUUUUGGUGAUUGUGUAGAGGUGUGGACCAGGCAUCAUUGAUUAAUUUUUCCA